rnacentral:misc_RNA from 1 species
AACACCUCAACUCUCAUGGUUUACCAUGAUGAGCUUGGACUUUGGAGGUCUUGCUGGCCAGCGGGUCGGCUCCUCUCAAAUGAAUCAGCUUGCCAGUGUUUGGUGGCACCACAGGUGUGAUAACUAUCUACGCUUGUGGUUUCCUGCCAGGUUUCCUUCAGUGAUGGAGGUUCGCUGGAGCUCAUAAACGUCCCUCCCCAGCGAGGACAACUUCAUGAAU